GAUCAAGAAGAGCGAAAUUUGGGAGUAGAUCGGGGAAAAGAAAAAGUAAAGGACUAAAUUGUAAAGUUUAGUCACAUUUUGUAUCGAGUACUUAUCUAGCCACUCGGGGAUCGAAGGAAACGUCGGAGGCCGAUCACACUAUCAAAGAAAUAACUCGGUAUAAUUAGACGUUUUGUUUUGUGUAUGGCAUGUAUAGAAACUUAGCUACUUUUGGUAUAAUAUGAACAAUGAAUGAUGUGUAAAUACUUGCUAGGGAUUAGCUAAUAAAAAUGGCCGAUGAUAUGCAUGUUUA